ACUAGCGAAGAAUAGACCCCUCCCAGUCGUGACCCUCUCUUCAUCUUCUUCAUAUACACACGACCAAAACCCUAAUAACCCUUAGAAGACAAACACCAACGACCAGAACACAUUCCAGCGGCACCCCACCUUCUUCUUCACCUCACAGCAGCCAACCCCAACCAGUGACACACACAGAAAGAACAAAACAAAAAAUGGCACACACACACACCACCUAGCGUCCCCCUUUCUUCUAAUAUCUUCCUUGUUCUCAAAAUCAAAGAGACACACAUACGCACAAGAUCUGGACAAAAGAAAACAAAGAGGGAAAAAUGGGUUAGGCUAAUGUAGUGAUGAUAUAAACAUAGGUCCUUUUGUUAUUUGUUGAUGGAUUUGGAAAAGAGGCAACAGUAAGGUUUACCAAAAUAUUGAAGCCUUCAGAAGUUGUGGCAAAGCAAUUUCAUUCAGAGAUUGAAAUAAUUAGCCUUUUGGGGAGGGAAAUGAACGAAACAGUAGGAGAUUUGACGGAAAAGGAGCAACGAAUCUCAAUGCUCCAUCUCAUAUUUUCUGGUCCGUUUACAAAAGUAGCGUUCCUCCCAAACUUUAAUUUCUAGUUACUGCUUCAUCUACAAGUGUAGGCUCAUCGGACAGCAGUGUGUCCUCAAUUACUGACAAAUCUUUUCAUUUUAAAGAGAUUUCGAAAUUUUUUUACAUAUAAAGGAGAUGAUGCUUCUUCUUGUCUAUUUCGGGCCUUUGAUUUUCAAUGGUGUUCGAUUGAGGCUGAGUCGUGUGAGAUCCGUUUGGAGCUGAUGAGCGCGAGUUCCGUCCAAGGUCCUGUUCGCAAUCUUGUUGCUUAUGAGUUUCAAAGUUGUCCGAGCAUUCAAAUUUCAGAUUCAAUAGUAAGGUACUCAUUUGGCCUCAUACAAUUGUGAAGACUCAAUGUAGGAUUGCUGAAGUAUAUGAAAUGAUGAAAUAUUAUUACAUUUGAUCUAUGAAGUCUCCCGUUCCUUGUUUAGCUUAAAGGCAUAGAGUAGUUUUGUUUAUUUGAACAAUAUAUGGAUUUGUAAUUAAUUAGACUGCUGGACCUUUUAGAAUUGCAUGAACUUUCUGCCCUUACAUUAGUUUAGUAUUGAUUUGUCGGUAAUUAGAACAUUGAACCUUUUAGAGUCAUGUGAAUGUGUUUUCAAACAGUGUUAGUUUAGAA